rnacentral:rRNA from 1 species
UGGGGAAUUUUGGACAAUGGGCGAAAGCCUGAUCCAGCAAUGCCGCGUGUGUGAAGAAGGCCUUCGGGUUGUAAAGCACUUUUGUCCGGAAAGAAAUCCUUGGCUCUAAUACAGUCGGGGGAUGACGGUACCGGAAGAAUAAGCACCGGCUAACUACGUGCCAGCAGCCGCGGUAAUACGUAGGGUGCAAGCGUUAAUCGGAAUUACUGGGCGUAAAGCGUGCGCAGGCGGUUUGCUAAGACCGAUGUGAAAUCCCCGGGCUCAACCUGGGAACUGCAUUGGUGACUGGCAGGCUAGAGUAUGGCAGGAGGGGGGUAGAAUUCCACGUGUAGCAGUGAAUGCGUAGAGAUGUGGAGGAAUACCCGAUGGCGAAGGCAGCCCCCUGGGCCAAUACUGACGCU